ensembl:lncRNA
GUUACUGUGUUUGACGAUGCAUCUAACAGCCUCCAUCACUCUGCUGCUCCUGGUUCUUCUGGGGGUCACUUCAGAAGUACCACCCCCCAUUGAAACUCCCGUCACGAUUGAAGUGAGAAACUCUUUGGUCCCAGGUGAAACCGGAAAAAUCUACCGCACUUCUGUGCCCCCCAGAGCAAUUCUGCUGGGAGCAAUGAGACGACUCCAGGAAACCACCAACUUCAGUUUUACCUACACUGAGAGCAAAUAUUACGGCCCCUUUGUGACCAGUUUGAAUGGUUUGUAUGGAGAUUUCUCUCAGCGCACCUACUGGCAGCUGCUGGUGGAGAAACCGGACGGGACUGUCAUAAUACCUGAUGCUAAUAUCGGGUGCUACAUUCCAAUUGCAAAUGAUAAGAUCAUCUUUGAAUAUUCCAGCGCAUGAAGACGACUUCAGUCUGAGCUGAUUAAUAAACAUAUAACCACGUACCUGCUGAGCAGGAAAUAUGUGUAACUCGUUGUAUUCUGUUAUCACUGGGUUAUUUAGUUUAGUCACACCUGUUUGUUUAGUUUGUGCUAAAUGUUGAUUUAAGUCACUAUUUUUCCUCUGUUCUUGGUGCAACAUGUGAAAAACAAUAAAGAAACAAACAAACUCAGAGUCUGAGUCACUAAAAUGUUGACACAGUAUUUUAAUUAUGCAAUGGCACUUGACAAGGAAGAGAAAGAUAUUUUCUCCUGUUUAUCGUAAUCAUUUGGGGUUGGUUUGUUUUGACAUGGAGGAUAAAAGUGUAAAAAUAAUCAUACAGUCCUUCAUCUGCAUUAGUUGGAUUUUAUGGCUUUAGUCCAACUCCAUAAUUAAACAUGAUGUGUA